UCCAACUAAUCUGAAAAUCCUUUUACCCAUUAAAAGGCCGCAUGGAUUCAAUUGACAUGCGGCCUUUCCUAAGGUAUGCUUACGCCGCGUUCGGGUGGGACCGGCGCGGCAGAAUCUUUCGAACCCCGCCAGGUCUGAGAGGAAGCAACGGUAAGGAGGACACUCUGGGUGCCGCCGGGAAACCUGCCCGAACGCAUUUUGUUAAGCUGGAGACCGGAUAUGAUGGA
rnacentral:SRP_RNA from 1 species